CCUACGGGCGGCAGCAGUGAGGAAUAUUGGUCAAUGGACGAGAGUCUGAACCAGCCAAGUAGCGUGAAGGAUGACUGCCCUAUGGGUUGUAAACUUCUUUUAUAUGGGAAUAAAAUGUUCCACGUGUGGGAUUUUGUAUGUACCAUAUGAAUAAGGAUCGGCUAACUCCGUGCCAGCAGCCGCGGUAAUACGGAGGAUCCGAGCGUUAUCCGGAUUUAUUGGGUUUAAAGGGAGCGUAGGUGGAUUGUUAAGUCAGUUGUGAAAGUUUGCGGCUCAACCGUAAAAUUGCAGUUGAAACUGGCAGUCUUGAGUACAGUAGAGGUGGGCGGAAUUCGUGGUGUAGCGGUGAAAUGCUUAGAUAUCACGAAGAACUCCGAUUGCGAAGGCAGUUCACUGGACUGCAACUGACACUGAGGCUCGAAAGUGUGGGUAUCAAACAGGAGUAGAUACCCGUGUAGUC
rnacentral:rRNA from 1 species